rnacentral:rRNA from 1 species
CCUACGGGAGGCAGCAGUGGGGAAUAUUGGACAAUGGGCGAAAGCCUGAUCCAGCAAUGCCGCGUGAGUGAUGAAGGCCUUAGGGUUGUAAAGCUCUUUUACCAGGGAUGAUAAUGACAGUACCUGGAGAAUAAGCUCCGGCUAACUCCGUGCCAGCAGCCGCGGUAAUACGGAGGGAGCUAGCGUUGUUCGGAAUUACUGGGCGUAAAGCGUACGUAGGCGGUUAUUCAAGUCAGAGGUGAAAGCCUGGAGCUCAACUCCAGAACUGCCUUUGAAACUAGAUAGCUAGAAUCACGGAGAGGUUAGUGGAAUUCCGAGUGUAGAGGUGAAAUUCGUAGAUAUUCGGAAGAACACCAGUGGCGAAGGCGACUAACUGGACGUGUAUUGACGCUGAGGUACGAAAGCGUGGGGAGCAAACAGGAUUAGAUACCCUGGUAGUCCACGCCGUAAACGAUGAUAACUAGCUGUUCGGUCUCUACGAGACUGAGUGGCGCAGCUAACGCAUUAAGUUAUCCGCCUGGGGAGUACGGUCGCAAGAUUAAAACUCAAAGAUAGUACGGCGNGAGAGAGCGACGACGACGACGAGGAGGAGAG